UCCCUUGUAGUGUAGUGGUUAACAUAUCGCGUUUUCAUUUCAGCAAGAAGUCGAUCCGCGAAGCCCGGGGUUCAAUUCCCCGCAAGGGAG